AAUGAAUUGCCUGAUAAAAAGGAUUACCUUGAUAGGGUAAAUAAUGUAAUUACUAUUACAUUCAUUA
rnacentral:tRNA from 1 species